UUAGUUUGUUGACAAUCCUUAACCUUGUUUAAGUCAAAAACAUUUUAUAAAAAAAAAAUAGCAAACACUGAUCCCAUAUACCCAAUUUUUCUCAGUGCAGCCAGCGGUUUGCGGCUCUUUCGAGGAGGGAGGCUGCUCGACUACUCGACUACUCGACUGCUCUCCAUCUCUAGAGCUCUCCGCCAAUUAUCAAUCAGCUGGCACACCUGAAAGAGCUGAAAGAGGUGAAAGAGGUAAAAGAGCCGCCGGUGGUGAGACGGUGAGGGGGUGGCGAAGGGGCGGUAAUUGGGGGGCGGCAAAGGGGGCCAUGAGUCGACUCUGGGCGGAUUUCUUCAAUUUGCAAGUGCUGCUCGUGACUUGCCUUGGAAAUGAACUAACUGCUGCGCAAAUGGGCGAAAAUCGAAGGCGUCGCCAAAAGUAAAUACAAAGAAAAAUAUCGCAAGCAAAAGCAUGCAAAAUACAAAACACAAAAAACAUAAAACAAAAAAAGAGGCCCAAAAAUCCCCAGCAGUACCUGAAAUGUAUAUGGAAAGCAGAUAAACCCCAAGUGGAUCGAGUUUAGUGGCAAGAAAGGGCCAUUAUAAUCGUCGGCCGUACUUUUAGGAUCAAGAACGACAGUUGUUGUUCUGGAUCUGUUUUGAAAGCAUAUCUCUCGAUCUACGAAAGAUAUUUCUUGCCAUGUAAAAGAAGGAGUGCGUGACCUAUUUUACGUAUUGAGAAAUUUCACUGCUUAUUCCAGAAUAUACAAACUGAUUUUCUGUUGAUGUAAGAAUAAGAAUACCUAGCUGAUAUUUCAACUUGUGCCACUCGUGUACAUCGUUAAAUGUUUAAACAGUUUUUUUUUGUGUGUGUAGAAGGGGUGUAUGAGGUUUUUUUUAAUGCCUACUCCAUACUCCAUAGGCAGAGAAACGAGCGACAACGAAGCGAGGCUGAGAAAUUCUAUGGAGAAUUGGGAGCGAUGACGAUGACGAUGGCGAUGGCGAUGGCGAUGACGGUAUAAUGGUGACAACGACGAUGACGAUGUCGCCGGGAGUAACUGCUGUGCCAGCCACACACCGUUGUUGUGAAAAUUUCGCGUGCGACUGACUGACCGAGCUGAGCCACCCAACAAAACCCAACCCAACCCAACCCAACCAGCCCAACAAAACCUACAAAACCAACAACCAACAAGCAACCAAUUCAACCUACCCAACCGACCGCCGAACCAGCGAGCGGUAAACUUUGAGCGGUGAGCGGUAAGCGAUGAGCUGCGAGCGCACAACUUUUACAAUCUAAUCGCCGCGGCCACUGGGCAGAGCAGUCGUCGCCAGAGCAGACAAUCUAGCUACUUUCCCCGCCCCACCAGCAGUCUGAUUUCAGUACUCAAUUGGUAA